AGGAUGAACGCUGGCGGCGUGCCUAACACAUGCAAGUCGAACGUCCUGUCUCGCAAGAGGCAGGGAGUGGCGGACGGGUGAGUACCACGUGGGUCAUCUACCGUGAGGUGAGGAAUACCGGCGAGAAAUCGCCGACAAGACCGCAUAGCCUCGGUGCAAGUCGAGGAAAGCUCUCUCGAGAGAGGGAGCGCCACACGAGGAGCCUGCGCCCGAUUAGCUAGCUGGUGGAGUAAUGGUUCACCAGGGCGACGAUCGGUAGCUGGUCUGAGAGGACGAUCAGCCACACUGGGAUUGAGAACGGCCCAGACUCCUACGGGGGGCAGCAGUGAGGAAUUUUCGUCAAUGGGGCAACCCUGAACGAGCAACGCCGCGUGCAGGAAGAAGGUUUUCGGAUCGUAAACUGCUUUUCUCGGGAAGAGAACGGACGGUACCCGAGGAAUCAGCCCCGGCUAACUACGUGCCAGCAGCCGCGU
rnacentral:rRNA from 1 species